UACGUAGGAGGCGAGCGUUGUCCGGAGUACUGGGCGUAAAGCGCACGCAGGCGGUCUCUUUUAGUCUGUAGGGACAGGGCACAGCUCAACUGUGUCAGGCUUAUGGAAACUGGGAGACUUGAGGGCUUCAGAGGGAUGGGGGAAUUCCGGGGUGGAGUGGUGAAAUGCGUAGAGAUCCGGAAGAACACCAAAAGGCGAAGGCACCAUCCUGGGGAGUCACUGACGCUCGGGUGCGAAAGCCAGGGGAGCGAACGGG
rnacentral:rRNA from 1 species